GAUCAUGGCUCAGAUUGAACGCUGGCGGCAUGCUUUACACAUGCAAGUCGAACGGCAGCACAGGGAGCUUGCUCCCGGGUGGCGAGUGGCGCACGGGUGAGUAAUACAUCGGAACGUGUCCUGUUGUGGGGGAUAACUGCUCGAAAGGGUGGCUAAUACCGCAUGAGACCUGAGGGUGGAAAGCGGGGGAGUCGCAAGACCUCGCGCACUGAGCG
rnacentral:rRNA from 1 species